AGAGGGGGCGAAAAAUCACGGCCAUCGCUCGGGUGUCUCAACUCAGAACGUGGUGUCUCAUUUCAGGGACCAGCGAUGUGGGCCCCUCGGGACUGAUGGAAGGCUCCGGGGUCGGCCUCCAAAAGGAAGACGGUGGCAUGAUGGCUCUAGGUGAUCCGGGCCCGGGGGCUGAGAAGC